AUCCUAUGGUGAGGACAGGCGGCGACAUAUUCCUGCAGACGUUCCCAUGCCUCUGGAAUGGACUCAUCCCUCGUAUGCUAGAAGCUUGAGAUUCUUCCACGAAGGGC
rfam:Leersia perrieri chromosome 10, whole genome shotgun sequence.